rnacentral:rRNA from 1 species
AUACGUAGGGGGCAAGCGUUGUCCGGAUUUACUGGGCGUAAAGGGCGCGUAGGCGGCGCUUCAAGUCGUCUGUCAAAUGGGAGGGCUUAACCCUUUUUCGCAGACGAAACUGGAGAGCUUGAGAAGCAGAGAGGCAAACAGAAUUCCUGGUGUAGCGGUGAAAUGCGUAGAUAUCAGGAAGAAUACCAGUGGCGAAGGCGGUUUGCUGGCUGCAUACUGACGCUGAAGCGCGAAAGCCAGGGGAGCAAACGGGAUUAGAUACCCCGGUAGUCCUGGCAGUAAACGAUGUAUGCUGGGUGUGAGACUAGCGAUAGUUUCGUGCCGAAGUUAACGCGAUAAGCAUACCGCCUGGGGAGUACGGUCGCAAGAUUGAAACUCAAAGGAAUUGACGGGG